rnacentral:lncRNA from 1 species
AAAAAUACAAGCAACUUCUUUUGUGAACCUUUUCAAUUGGAACCACAGUUCAGAAGAAGGCCCUGCUACCAUAAAACACUCUUGGGCUUUGGCCGCUUGGAUGCGCUUGUGGUUUCUCACUUGAACCGGAGCUCUCUGUGUUGUCAUUUCCAUUUUGGACGGCUGAUCCACUUUCCAUGUCCAGAGGAAGUUUCAUCUUUGCUAGAGCUUCCGUGAAUUG